GAUGAACGCUGGCGGCGUGCCUAAUACAUGCAAGUCGAGCGAACGGACGAGAAGCUUGCUUCUCUGAUGUUAGCGGCGGACGGGUGAGUAACACGUGGAUAACCUACCUAUAAGACUGGGAUAACUUCGGGAAACCGGAGCUAAUACCGGAUAAUAUUUUGAACCGCAUGGUUCAAAAGUUAAAGACGGUCUUGCUGUCACUUAUAGAUUGAUCCGCGCUGCAUUAGCUAGUUGGUAAGGUAACGGCUUACCAAGGCAACGAUGCAUAGCCGACCUGAGAGGGUGAUCGGCCACACUGGAACUGAGACACGGUCCAGACUCCUACGGGAGGCAGCAGUAGGGAAUCUUCCGCAAUGGGCGAAAGCCUGACGGAGCAACGCCGCGUGAGUGAUGAAGGUCUUCGGAUCGUAAAACUCUGUUAUUAGGGAAGAACAUAUGUGUAAGUAACUGUGCACAUCUUGACGGUACCUAAUCAGAAAGCCACGGCUAACUACGUG
rnacentral:rRNA from 1 species